rnacentral:rRNA from 1 species
UACGUAGGGUGCAAGCGUUGUCCGGAAUUAUUGGGCGUAAAGAGCUUGUAGGCGGUUUGUCGCGUCUGCUGUGAAAUUUCGGGGCUCGACCCCGAACUUGCAGUGGGUACGGGCAGACUAGAGUGUGGUAGGGGAGACUGGAAUUCCUGGUGUAGCGGUGAAAUGCGCAGAUAUCAGGAGGAACACCGAUGGCGAAGGCAGAUCUCUGGGCCACUACUGACGCUGAGAAGCGAAAGCGUGGGGAGCAAACAGG